rnacentral:rRNA from 1 species
GACGAACGCUGGCGGCGUGCCUAAUACAUGCAAGUCGAACGCAGUGGGGACGGGUGAGUAACACGUGGGUAACCUCCCAUCAGAGGGGAUAACACUUGGAAACAGGUGCUAAACCGAUACUGAUGGAUGGACCCGCGGUGCAUUAGCUAGUUGGUGAGGUAACGGCUCACCAAGGACACGAUGCAUCGCCGACUUGAGGGGGGGAUCGGCCACACUGGGACUGAGACACGGCCCAGACUCCUACGGGAGGCAGCAGUAGGGAAUCUUCGGCAAUGGACGAAAGUCUGACCGAGCAACGCCGCGUGAGUGAAGAAGGUUGUCGGAUCGUAAAACUCUGUUAAUCGGGACGCGGUACCGGAAUAGAAAGCCACGGCUAACGACGUGCCAGCAGCCGCGGUAAUAC